AUGCAGCAUGUAGUGCUUAAGCCAAAACUGUCAGGAAGAUUUUACUUCAUCUUUGGGGAGCCUAUUGAAACAAAAGGGAGGGAGAAGGAGUUAAAAGAUAAAGAGAAGGCCCAGCACCUCUAUUUGCAUGUAAAAUCUGAAGUGGAGAGCUGUAUCAAGUAUCUGAAGAGGAGAGAGGAGGAUCCCUACAGGAGUACACUAUCCAGUCUUCUAUAUGAGGCAGCUCAUGGUUCUGAUGCAGAAAUACCCACAUUUGAACCCUGA
rnacentral:rRNA from 1 species